rnacentral:rRNA from 1 species
UUGACCUCGGAUCAGGUAUGGG